rnacentral:rRNA from 1 species
UACGGAGGAUGCGAGCGUUAUCCGGAAUUACUGGGUGUAAAGGGGGCGCAGACGGCAGCGCAAGCCAGGAGUGAAAGCCCGGGGCCCAACCCCGGGACUGCUCUGGAAACUGUUAAACUGGAGUGCAGGAGAGGCAGGCGGAAUUCCUAGUGUAGCGGUGAAAUGCGUAGAUAUCACGAAGAACUCCGAUUGCGAAGGCAGCCUACCGUAGCGUUACUGACGCUGAGGCUCGAAGGUGCGGGUAUCGA